rnacentral:rRNA from 1 species
AAUGAACGCUGGCGGUAGGCCUAACACAUGCAAGUCGAACGGCAGCACAGUAAGAGCUUGCUCUUACGGGUGGCGAGUGGCGGACGGGUGAGGAAUACAUCGGAAUCUACUUUUUCGUGGGGGAUAACGUAGGGAAACUUACGCUAAUACCGCAUACGACCUACGGGUGAAAGCAGGGGAUCUUCGGGCCUUGCGCGAUUGAAUGAGCCGAUGUCGGAUUAGCUAGUUGGCGGGGUAAAGGCCCACCAAGGCGACGAUCCGUAGCUGGUCUGAGAGGAUGAUCAGCCACACUGGAACUGAGACACGGUCCAGACUCCUACGGGAGGCAGCAGUGGGGAAUAUUGGACAAUGGGCGCAAGCCUGAUCCAGCCAUACCGCGUGGGUGAAGAAGGCCUUCGGGUUGUAAAGCCCUUUUGUUGGGAAAGAAAAGCAGCAGGUUAAUACCCCGCUGUUCUGACGGUACCCAAAGAAUAAGCACCGGCUAACUUCGUG